rnacentral:rRNA from 1 species
GUUUACACCCAUGCCACCCCGAACAUGCCCGAUCCUGUCUGAUCUCGGACGCUAAGCAGAGUUGGGCCUGGUUAGUACUUGGAUGGGAGACCACCUAGGAAUACCAGAUGUUAUAGGUG